UACGAAGGGGGCUAGCGUUGCUCGGAAUCACUGGGCGUAAAGCGCACGUAGGCGGACUCUUAGGUCGGUGGUGAAAUCCUGGAGCUCAACUCCAGAACUGCCUUCGAUACUGGGAGUCUCGAGUUCGGGAGAGGUGAGUGGAACUGCGAGUGUAGAGGUGAAAUUCGUAGAUAUUCGCAAGAACACCAGUGGCGAAGGCGGCUCACUGGCCCGAUACUGACGCUGAGGUGCGAAAGCGUGGGGAGCAAACAGG
rnacentral:rRNA from 1 species